CAGCGACUUGGAGGGAUUGUUAGUAUAUCCAUGAUCUAGAGUAGGAAACAGAGGUCCAGGGACUUGUGGCACCCAUCUAGACAGGGGUAGAACUGGGAUUCCCUCGGGAUGGGGUGAGGGGGUGCCUUCGAUCUCCUCCUAGAGCCUCCAGUUCCCUGCCAUAGACAGGGAAUCCUGUGAUUUGAGAAUCUUGGGCCCUGAAACUUGGGAGAAAGCUGGGGGGCCAUGGGAUUGGUGGCAAAGUAAUUCUAUCAGUUCAAAACAAUGAUUGUGGAAGCCAGUUAUGCAAUUCACACACAGUCUCACAUUUCUUUUGUUAAUAAUGAAUGCAAUGAGACACACAUGACAAAAUGUUACCAGGAGUGUUCAUUCCGGAUGUUUGGAAUUUGAGCAUUUUAUUAUUCCUUGUAUUUUCCUUUUCUUUUUCUCUUUUUUUUUUUUUUUUUGAGAUGGAGUCUCGCUCUGUCACCCAGGCUGGAGUGCAGUGCAGUGGUGUGAUCUCAGCUCACUGCACCCUCCAUCCCCCAGGUUCAAGCAAUUCUCCUGCCUCAGCCUCCUGAGUAGCUAGGAUUACAGGCAUGCGCCACUAUGCCUGGCUAAUUUUCAUAUUUUUAGUAGAGACAGGGUUUUGUCAUGUUGUCCAGGCUGGUCUCGAACUCCUGACCUCAGGUGAUCCACCCACCUCAGCCUCCCAAAGUGCUAGGAUUACAGGUGUGAGCCACUGUGCCCAGCCUCAUGGGCUUUCUUAUUUUUAAUUUUCCUCCUGUAAGAUUCAUUUAUUCUGGGCUGGGCGAGGUGGCUCAUGUCUGUAAUCCUAGCACUUUGGGAGGCUGAGGUGGGAGGAUCACUUGAGCCCAGGAGUUCGAGAACAGCUUGGGCAAUAUAGUGAGACCCAGUCUCUACAAAAAAUAAAAAAUUAGCCUGACAUGGUGGCGCACACCCGUCGUCCCAGCUACUUGGGAGGCUGAGGCAGGAGGAUUACUUGAAUGGAAGAGAAGGAGGCUUCAGUGAGCCAUGAUCAUGCCACUGCACUCUAGCCUGGGCAACAGAGUGAGACCCAGUCUCAAAAGAAAAAAAAAUGCAUUUAUUUAUUCCAAGUGUGUGAGUGCAUAGCAUUUGUGAUUCUGGUCUUUGCUGUUUCCAGAGUUUCAGUGAUUUUAAGAUUCUGGAAUUCAGAGAUCCCAACAGCCACUGAAUUCAAAAUUCCCAGAUGCUCAGUUAUUUCAAGUUUCCAAUAUGUUGUGAUUGCAGAAAUGCUAGGCUGUGCUAUUUCAAAUUGCUGAGGGGCCAGGACUUUGGAAUCCAAAGAUUCUAUGAUGGAGAACUUUAAUAUUUUUCUGUUAGAAUUUCUUUUUUUUGUUGGUUUUUUUGAGACAGAGUCUCGCUCUGUCGCCCAGGCUGGAGUGCAGUGGUGCGAUCUCAGCUCACUGCAAGCUCCGCCUCCCGGGUUCAGGCCAUUCUCCUGCCUCAGCCUGCCAAGUAGCUGGGACUACGGGCGCCCGCCACCACGCCUGGCUAUUUUGUAUUUUUAGUAAAGAUGGGGUUUCACCGUGUUAGCCAGGAAGGUCUUGUUCUCCUGACCUCGUGAUCCGCCCACCUCGGCCUCCCAAAGUGCUGGGAUUACAGGUGUGAGCCAUCAUGCCUGACCUAGAAUUUCAUUUUAAAAGACUAGAAGGAAAUGGCUGGGUGCGGUGGCUCAUGUGUGUAAUCUCAGCACUUUGGGAGGCUGAGGAGAGUGGAUCACCUGAGGUCAGGCAGGAGUUCAAGACCAGCCUGGCCAACGUGGUGAAACCCUGUCUCUACUAAAAAUACAAAAAUUAGGUGGCCGUGGUGGUGCACGCCUGUAAUCCCAGCUACUCAGGAGGCCGUGGCAUGAGAAUCACUUGAACCCAGGAGGCACAGUUAUAGUGAGCUGAGAUGGCACCAUCGCACUCCAGCCUGGGUGACAGAGUGAGACUCCAUCUCAAAAAAGGAAAAAAAAAAGAAAGACUAGAAGGAAAUAUUCAAAAUGUUAAUGAUGGUUCCCUGUGAGUGGUGUGAUUUUGUCCUCUUUCUUCUAUUUUUAUUUAUUUUCCCCAAGCUCUCUAUGGUGUUGGUGUAUUUCUCUAUAGUGGAAUGUGUAAAUUUAAAGUAUAAAUCUCAGCUGGGCACAGUGGCUCAUGCCUGGUUUGAGACCAGCCUGGACAACAUAAUGAGAACUGUCUCUACUGAAAAUGUUAAAUAUUAUCUGGGAGUGGUGGUGCAUGCCUGUAGUCCCAGCCAUAGGGGAGGCUGAGGCAUGAGGAUCAAUUGAGCCCAGUAGGUGGAGGCUGCAGUGAGCCAUGAUCUUGCCACUGCACUCCAGCCUGGGCAACAGAGUGAGACUCUGUCUCGAUAAUAAUAACCCUCUAUUACAACAUAUCAGUGCAUGAAUUUGUGAUUUUAUAAUUCAAAAUAUGAGCAUCUUUAAUUGUCAGAUUUGGUGACUUCAAGAAUCAGUAAUAAUCAGUCUAUGAUACUAACUUUAUAAUUAUUUUUUUUAAGAGAAGAGUUUCCUUUUAUUUUAUUUUAUUUGAGACAGAGUUUCUCUCUGUUGCCCAGGCUGGAGUGCAGUGGCGCAAUCUCGGCUCACUGCAGCCUCUGUCUCCUAGGUUCAAGCAAUUCUCCUGCCUGAGCCUCCCGAGUAGCUGGGAUUACAGGCAUGCACCACCAGGCCCAGCUAAUUUUUGUAUUUUUAGCAGAGACGGGGUUUCACCAUGUUGGCGAGGCUAGUCUUGAACUCCUGACCUCAAGUGAUCCACCCGCCUCGGCCUCCCAAGGUGCUGGGAUUACAGGCAUGAGCCACCGUGCCCAGCCUAACUUUAUAAUUCUAAGAUCGUGUUCAAACCUUUAAAUGCUCUAGGGCUCUAAAAUGUUACUAUCCUAAGACGGUGACACUAGCGUUUGAUUCUUACAUUCUAUGAUUUUUUAAGUUUCUCUGUGGCCAGGACUCUGUGAUUCUACAAUGGGAUGCUCAGCCAUUUCAACAUGUUGUUAUUCAUCCCCUCUUGAUUUCAAAAUCCUGAGCCUCAAGGUUCCUUGCCUUUACUUUCAGGAGGGCCUAGGAAUAGGCAUUUUGGGGGGGUCCACCUGACCCCUGCUUCUCUGAGAAGUGAUCUCUUCCCGCUGUCUACGCACACGGAGUGUUCAGGACUGUUCCAUGUGGCUACAACCCUCUUCCCAGUCAAGAUGCAGGGACCAAGAUCAGCAGGAGACCAUCCCCUGGUCCAAUGGUGACAACAGUAAGAGCAGUUAACAGUUAUGUGCCAGGUAUUAUGCUAAGCACUACAUUAAUGUAUUUAAUCUUGGCGGGGUGUGGUGGCUCACACCUGUAAUCCCAGCACUUUGGGAGGCCAGGGCGGGCAGAUCACUUGAGGUCAGGAGUUCAAGACCAGCCUAGCCAACACAGUGAAACCCCAUCUCUACUAAAAAUACAAAAAUUAGCCAAGCGUGGUGGCAUAUGCCUGUAAUCCCAGCCACUUGGGAGACUGACGCAGGAGAAUCACUUUAACCCAGGAGGUGGAGUCCAGCACCCAGCCGAGACUCACUUGUUUUUAUUUAUUUAUUUAUUUAUUUUUAUUUUUAUUUUUUUUGAGACGGAAUCUUGCUCUGUCACCCAGGCUGGAGUGCAGUGGCGCGAUCUCAGCUCACCACAAGCUCCGCCUCCCGGGCUCACGCCAUUCUCCUCUCAGCCUCCAGAGUAGCUGGGACUACAGGCGCCCGCCACCACCCCCAGCUAAUUUUUGUAUUUUUAGUAGAGACGGGGUUUCACCGUGUUAGCCAGGAUGGUCUUAUCUCCUGACUUCGUGAUCCGCCCGCCUCGGCCUCCCAAAAUGCUGGGAUUACAGGCAUGAACCACCACGCCCGGCCUAUUUAUUUAUUUAUUUAGAGAUGGAGUCUUGCUCUGUCGCCCAGGCUGGAGUGCAGUGGUGCAGUCUUGGCUCACUGCAACCUCCGCCUUCCGGGUUUAAGCGAUUCUCUUGCCUCAGCCUCCUGAGUAGCUGGGAUUGGAAUGAGACCACCACUUCUCCUGUUGUCCUUCCCAGCUUCUCCCCCACCUCCCCUUUUCCCUAGUUUAUAAGACAGGAAAAAAAGGGAGAAAGCAAAACGCUGGAAAAAAACAGAAGUACGAUAAAUAGCUAGAUGACCUUGGCGCCACCAUCUGGUCCUGGUGGUUAAAAUAAUAAUAAUAAUAUUAAUCCCUGACCAAAACUACUGGUGUUAUCUGUAAAUUCCAGACAUUGUAUGAGAAAGCACUGUAAAACGUUUUGUUCUGUUAGCUGAUGUCUGUAGCCCCCAGUCACGUUCCUCACGCUUACUUGAUCUAUCGUGGCCCUUUCACGUGGACCCCUUAGCGUUGUAAGCCCUUAAAAGUGCUAGGAAUUUCUUUUUCGGGGAGCUCGGCUCUUAAGACGCUGAUGCUCCCGGCCGAAUAAAAACCUCUUCCUUCUUUAAUCCGGUGUCUGAGGAGUUUUGUCUGUGGCUCGUCCUGCUACAGAAUUACAGGCACGCGCCACCGCUCCGGGCUAAUUUUUGUAUUUUUUUAGUAGACAGGGGGUUUCACCAUGUUGGUCAGGCUGGACUUGAACCUCUGACCUCAUGAUCCACCCACCUCGGCCUCCC
rnacentral:lncRNA from 1 species